AAAAUAAAAAAGGACUAAAACAAGUAAAAAAAGAAGGAAAAGGAAACAGGUAUAAAAGGAAUCGCGAUUCUUUAAAGGUGCAAAAGAUUUAGGGGCUAUAAGAAGAUAUAUAUAUACUCACAGUAUACUUUUUGAGGGUCAAAUGACAUUAAAAACCGCUGAUUGCGGCCUGAAGCGAAAAAAAAUAAUUCACGAAACAGUUAGAGUACACU